UCUAUCUUGGUUUAGUUAUAAAAAAUCUUUGCUAGCAUGAUGGUGGAAAAUGGUGUUUCAUAAAGAAAGUACGCAUAUUUUCCAUGUUUAUUUCCGCCAUUAGAGGAAAUCAACACCUUGCAGCCUGAAUGGAGAAGGUUUUAGGUACGAACCGAUCCAUGGGGAUACUAGUUAUUUGCCAGCUGCAUACGAUACCUUUGGAAGGUAGAUGAAACCAUCAAUACCAGCUCAAUAUCGCCAUCUGCCGGCCUUUGAGCUAGUGUCGAACAUGCAUUUGCAGCUAAUAGUGAAAUAAAAACUGACUGUCCAUAAACGAGGGGUAAUGUCACGUUCAAAACAACUGAAAACUCUGAAGAAUAUGAGAUCAAAUCAUGACGUSAGUGAUCUUCAGGUUGGAGCGCUAGAAAGAGGCCAGAAUUCCCGAGUUGGAUGACCGUUCAAAUCGAUUUUUCCCAGUUGGAGUUCGUUUUUCCAGAGUUGUUUAGAACGCACAGAGGUCAGAGAUGACCGAGUUCUAAGUUGUUUUGAACACGACAUAUAUGCUAGUAAAACCCAUCGUAAAGAUGCAGGCUUUUAUUAAUCACAGAGAGGUAUAUUGACUGGCUCUCAGCAAGCUGCCACCUCAAGAAAGGACUUCAAACUGUUGCCAGUGCCUGCAACCUGAUUCAGGAAUGAUCAAGCAGGGAGGUAAAGGUGGUCCAACCAUAGGGGUUCGUCGUCCAACUCAGCUGACUCCGUGGCUGUGAAGAUGAGUCAUGAUGACUGCUCAU